UGUAAGCCUUCCUCUGGGACCGUGUGCAGUACACCGCCGAGGUGGGACAAGGCAUCGCGGUGCAGGGCUGCCCACGAGGGGCUCGGAGGGACCACGGCUGUCGUGGGAGAGCCGCGUCCACACCCGCUCGCUCACACUGGAGGUGCUUUCUAACUAACUUCCUUCAGAAGCUCAACAACCCAGGAAGAUACGAUACUAAAGGAGCAAAAACAGAGUCUUCAACUCAGGUUUUUGUCAUUUCUGCCUGGAGGGACCUGAUUCCUUGCAAUUUUCCCUGAUAAGGGAGAAAGCUUUAAAUGAAAAUGGAGGAACCAGGAGAUGCUUCCUGUGGCAUAAUGAACUUUAAAUUUCACCAAAAGGCAUGAAAUCCAAAACAGCAACUGAAAACGGGUAAGAAUUACAGCAGGUGCUGCGGGAGGGAGCAAACACGGCUGAAAAGGGAGCGUCCUCACCUCCAUCACACGUGACCUUGAAAAAGCCGAGUACGUUCAGUGGGACUAAGCUCAUUAAACACAGCUGAAGACUAUUAAAAGUUAUUACACAGUUCAAAUAAAUAACUAUGUGUGAUUUGGAUGAGCCUCAUUGUAAGAAAAACGUAAUCAAAAUAUUAGAUAUUGAUUGCUUAUUAUUUCUCCUAUCACAAUGUAAUCUUUCACGGAAUUUCUUUAAAAGGCAACUGUUGCAUGUUAUGCACAACUUGAUAUAGAGAGUGCGUAAUGAUUCAAGAAAACGUGUAUUAUUUUAUAUGGUAAUGUGUCCUAUGCAUUACUAUUCGCAGUCGCAUGUAGGAGGGUCCGUCCCUCUUUGGGGCAGAAGGUCACACCUAAGACUUGUUAGUCACCCAGUUCCUCAAAGGUGUCCAGGAAUGUCUUUUGUACCUUGGUCACUGCUUUAACUUUCGUGGCCUUUGGCCUCCUGCAGCUGGAAACCGCCCACACCUAGACUUGCUGCUCUGGGUGACUCCCUAGUCACUAAUUUAUUCCCAUUUUUCACACAUAUGAACCGCGUGGCUGCCGGGGCCGGCCCUGCUUUAGGCUCUGCUCAGAGUGGAGCAUC